AAUGAACGCUGGCGGCGUGCUUUACACAUGCAAGUCGAGCGAGGCGGCCCGCAAGGGCCAGUCGAGCGGCGAACGGGUGAGUAACGCGUGGAUUAUCUGCCCUGAGGUGGGGGAUAACCCGGGGAAACUCGGGCUAAUACCGCAUAUGACCGUGAGGUCAAAGGGGGGUCGCAAGAUCUCUCGCCAUAGGAGGAGUCCGCGUUCGAUUAGCUAGUUGGUAGGGUAAUGGCCUACCAAGGCGACGAUCGAUAGCCGGCCUGAGAGGGUGAUCGGCCACACUGGAACUGAGACACGGUCCAGACUCCUACGGGAGGCAGCAGUGGGGAAUUUUGCGCAAUGGGCUAACGCCUGACGCAGCAACGCCGCGUGGAAGAUGAAGGUCCUUGGAUUGUAAACUCCUGUCAGCAGGGAAAAAGCAACCUGACCUCAUACGUCAGGGAGUUGAUUGUACCUGCAGAGGAA
rnacentral:rRNA from 1 species